CGGGAGUGCACCUGAGGCCCGGGCGGGGCCUGUCCUGGGGACCUGGCGAGGCCCGGCCUCUGCCAGCCAAGCCUGCUGGGGACGACCGAGGUAGCCCGGGCUCGGCUUAGGAAGGCAGCGGGACUCGAGGCCUUGGGGUCCGAGUCCGAACUCGCUCCUCUAGCGCCGGGCGGGGAGCGAGUGGGAGAGCGGCCGCGAAGCUCCAGUGUUGAAAACGCACCCCUCCCAGCUUUUUGCAAGGCCUACUUGGGGGCGGAGAGACAAGCAAGCUGUCAUGUUAUAAGCAGCCCUUUGAGGGGUCCAUGUGAUGUCAAGGAAUGAAGUCUCUAGCCAACAUUUAAUGAGGAACUGAGGCCCACCAACAACCUUGAGUGAGCUUGGAAGUAGCUCCUUCAGCAUCAGUUGGGUGUCGAGAUGACUACUGACAGCUUGACUGCAACUUCAUGAGAGUCUUCUGGACCAGAACCACUCAGUUAAGUGGCUCCCAGAUUCCUGAUCCUCAGAAACUCUGAGAAAUAAUGAAUGUUGGUUGUUUUAAAAUGGUAAAUUUUGAGGUAUUAUGUUAUGUGGCAAUAGAUAGCUAAUAUAUAAAUUAUUUGAAUCAAACAAUACGUUAAAUUAAAGCUCAGAAGAAUAAACAUCUGUAAUUCCUUAAUUUGUUUUCCCUUCUAUUCUACAGAAUAGAAUUUUACAGAUGAACCUUGUAGUUACUUGUGCAAUAAGAGACAGUAUGUUGUAUUGAUUAAGUGCAGAGCCUCUGGAUGUAUGAUAGAAGAAAGACCAAUAUUCAAUUGCUUUCUUCUUCAAUUCCAAGCUUGUGAGCUUGAGCAAAUUUUAAAAGUGUUUUAAGCCUCAGUUUCCUGGGAUGGUAGUGCUUAGCUCGAGCUCCUAGCAUAUAUUAACUACAAACUAAAUAUUAGCUAUAAUUAUUAGUUUUACUUUGAUUAUUGACUCUAAAUAAAUACCUUAAGAACUUUGUGUUCUCCACAGAUUUGGAUAUGUCUGGACGUUAUGUAGGCUGGAGUAGUCAGCAAUUACUUGCCUGAGGAAGGGAAGGCCUCCUCCUUUAAGAAAAGAAUAGGCUGGGUGCGGUGGCUCAUACUUGUAAUCCCAGCAUUUUGGGAGGCUGAGGAGGGUGGAUCACCUGAGGUCAGGAGUUUGAGACCAGCCUAAGGAACAUGGUGAAACCCUGUCUCUACUAAAAAUACAAAAAUUAGCCAAUUGUGGCACGCGCCUGUAGUCCCGGCUACUCAGGAGGCUGAGGUGAGAGGAUUGCCUGAGCCUGGGAGGUGGAGGUUGCAGUGAGCCGAGAUCGCGCCACUGCACUCCAGCCUGGGCAACAGAGUAAGACUCCGUCUCAAAAAAAAAAAAAAGAAAGAAAGAAAAGAGUAGAAGGCCCAAGCUUAGUCCAAUAUUAUAGCUUCAGCAUCAGAGUAGAGAAUGAUUCAGAGCAUCUGUCCAGUGUCUGCUGUAGAUCCCUCAAAUCCGUGUUUGGACGCUUCUGGUAAGGGGUGUAUGGCAGAUGCACCCGACAGAUGCACUUGGCAGCAAUAACUUAUGCAUACCUGAAGAAUGACCCUAUGGUCUAAGAAGAAUGUGUGUUCAGAGCUCCAAGCUAAGGAAUCUGGGAGUGGCCAACCCAGAUAUUUCAUUUCUUAUCUAUGACGAACUUCUGAACUGCUCCCACCCCCAGCCCAUCCUGUAGAAUGCAGGCCCUACGAGGCGAUCAAAGCCCUUUGUUUUAGGUUAAAUGAAGGUUGCCUGGUGGAGGUUGCUAGGGGAAAGGUGUUAAGUAAAAAUGUUAUAUAAACUGCAUGGUGUUUUUUGUUUGUUUUUGUUUUUUUGAGACAGAGUUUUUGCUCUUGUUGCCCAGGCUGGAGUGCAAUGGUGCAAUCUCGGCUCACUGCAACCUCCGCCUCCUGGGUUCAAGUGAUUCUGCUGUCUCAGCCUCCCAAGUAGCUGGGAUUACAGGUGCCCACCACCAGGCCCGGCUAAUUUUUUGUAUUUAGUAGAGUCAGGGUUUCCCCAUGUUGGUCAGCCUGGUCUCAAACUCCUGACUUCAGGUGAUCCACCUGCCUCAGCCUCCCAAAGCGCUGGGAUUACAGGUAUGAGCCACCACGCCUGGCCAAUUGCAUGCUUUUUACAAGGAGUUUUGGUUCUCCUGCCCAGCCCACUGCCACUGGACUGCCCUGUAUUGUAAGUCCCCUCAAUAAACCUUAUGUCUCAGUUUCUGGUUCUAGGUCUCUUCUUCAGCCUCUUGAACAUGGUGCCAUCCCUACUGAAGUCAAUGGGGUCUGACAUGACUAGGGGAACUUGAACAAAAUCUGAAAUAGCUGUUUUUUUCUUGCCAAAAUCACUGUAAGACAUUAUUUGCCUCAGCCCCAGAACAUUGAAUUAUAUGACCCAAGAGUGGAGAAACAGAGAAGUCUGUCUGUGUCAUCAGACAAUAUCCCAAGUGGGAUGUCAUCACCCCAAUGCAUAUUGGCAUUUGGGCAGAGUAGAGCAGCGUCAGCCUAGCAAGACUUGGCACAAUUCUGUUGGAUUGCACAAUAGAAUGAGAAAUCACAUUUCUGCUGUUAUGUGAUUCUGCAUUUUAACUCCAGUUUGUUUGGCCUGGACAGACAGGUAACUAGCCAUGAAGACAAUGGACCUUGAAACAUUCUGAAGACUAGAAAAAUUUCAGUUAUCUACGGCCAACUGGGUAAACCAAAUAGAUGCUCUUUACAAAUAUUUUUUAACUUCUUAAAAUAUCUCAUUGAGGAUUCCGUUCCAAGAUGGCCAAAUAGGAACAGCUCUGGUCUGCAGCUCCCAGUGUGAUCGACGCAGAAGACGGAUGAUUUCUGCAUUUCCAACUGAGGUACCAGUUGAAUGAAGAGAAGCACACCUCCUCCCCAGAACAGUACUGCAGCUAUGAUAUAACGCCUGGGCAGGGUUCGCAAUAGCAGCCAGGCUGUAAUGUAAGCUGGAAUUUCAAUCAAGGCAGAGAGGAAACAGUUCAGAUGGAGUCUUGCUCUGCUGCCCAGGCUGGAGUACAGUAGUGCGAUCAAGGCUCACUGGAACCUCCACCUCCUGGGUUCAAGUGAUUCUCCUGCCUCAGCCUCCCAAGUAGCUGGGAUUACAGCUGCCCGGACACGAAGGAGCCGAGGAGCACGCCUACGAAGAACAGGGAGGUGGUGAGGGGCACCUUCCAGUUGUCCUCACACACCAGAUUCCACUGCCAAGGAAGACAGCAUGAAGCGUGAGCCCAACCCUGAGGCAGACCUCAACCCCAGCCCAGCUCUGAGGGAAUAUUAGCACGGCUGGCGGGCAGACUCUCCUCCCCUGGGCCAGGAUAUUGCCUUUGUACAAAGGGCAUAGGCCUUGCAGCCCUGGGUUUGACUGGCCUGUGCCGGGACUGGGGAGAGUAACCUGGGGCAGGUCACUGCCCUCCCUGAAACUCAGGAUCCUCUUUGGAAAGGGAGGGUGAUGCUCCUACUCCGCUCGCAUUACAUAGCAAGAAGCCAGCCAAGGCCAUGGCUGUGACUGGUGACCCCUCAGCUGUGAGGCAGUCCAAAGUAAAGGUGGCACUGCAUCUUCAGAAGCCAGCCUAGUGCGGAGGGGAGGUGUUUGAAAAGCCCAAAGGGCAGGGCAGAGGGCAUGGCCACUUGGUCCAGGCGUAAAAUUUCUUUUCCCUUGUUGAAAAGUGCAAGUGGUUCCAGGAGCUCUGUGACUUUAUUUUCUGAGCAGGCCCCUCUGAGAAAUCAUGUGGUCCCUGGUCCACUCACGCCUAGGCCAAGCUUGUGGCCUGAUUCGGGGCCCCAUCGUUCUGGGGCCUACUUACUCCUCUCCAGGGCUCCCUAGCUCCCCUCCUACAUCCCUACACCCUCCUUCCCAUCCAGUCUUUCCAGAAGUGUGGUCCCUCCCAUUCCCUAGGGUCUGUGGGAUGCUGCUGCCCUAACAAGUCCCUGCCAGUGCAUCUACAAAAUGAGUUUCAGCCAGAGUUUCAGUUUGACUUAAGUCAAUUAAGCAACAUCUCAAGGGAGGUGACAAAAAUUUCAAAGUGUGUUUAGUGACCUUUCAUUUAUUAAAAACAAAUAAAUAAACAAACAGAUGCCAAUG
rnacentral:lncRNA from 1 species